rnacentral:rRNA from 1 species
GACGAACGCUGACGGUGUGCUUUAGACAUGCAAGUCGAACGAGAAAGCCCUUCGGGGUUAGUAAAGUGGCGAACGGGUGAGUAACACGUGGGCAAUCUGCCCCUCGCAGGGGGACAACCGGAGGAAACCCCGGCUAAUACCCCGUAAGUUCAAAGGGAGGCAUCUCCCCUUGAAGAAAGGUAGCUUCGGCCAUCCGGCGAGGGAUGAGCCCGCGGUGCAUUAGCUAGUUGGUGGGGUAACGGCCCACUAAGGCGACGAUGCAUAGCUGGUCUGAGAGGAUGAUCAGCCACACUGGGACUGAGACACGGCCCAGACUCCUACGGGAGGCAGCAGUCGGGAAUCUUGCGCAAUGGGCGAAAGCCUGACGCAGCAACACCGUGUGUGUGA